UCACGGCCUGAUCACGAGUUGGACUCGCUUUCGCCAGCAGGUACCCUCACGACGUGAGCAAGUGCUCAUUAUUGUCGAUCUCUGGGUACUGCCAGGACCUCACACACCCCAUCCCCCUUACUCAAGGGGGGACAGUAACCACUCCUAGUCAACGGAAAGGAUCCGGCCUGAGCGGGGCUCGAACCGCCGCCAGUUUGGCCUGAAGCCUUGCAGCGCGGCGCACUAACCGAUUGAGAUACCAGAGUGUGUGUGUGUGUGUGUGUGUGUGUGUGUGUGUGUGUGUGUGUGUGUCAUUAUCACCAUUUUCCCAUUCUCACUCUCAAAUCGACUGGAAAAAAAAUAGGAGAAAAUAUAAGAGAAAGAGGGAAAAGGCAAAAGAAGAGAAGGGAAUGGGAAGAAAAUGGUGAGAAGUUUAUCAGAGAAAGAGGGAGGAGGAGGAAGUAUGAUAAUAAUGGAACAAGGAAAAAAAGAUAAGUACAACCGGGAGAAGGAAGAAGAAAGGGAAAAAGGGGGAAUGGGUGAACGAGGAGAGGCUGAGGGGGGUGGGAGGAGGAGGAGAACAGGAGGAAAGGAAGGAGGUAAUAAGUAACAAUGAGUAAGAAGAAGAAAAUGGGGAGGAGGAGGAGGAGGAGGAGGGUCGAGGAAGUAGUAGAGGAGAGGAGAAGGAAUAAAAGGAGGAGGAGGAGAAUUAAUACUUAGAUUAUUCGAUGAGAAGAGGAGGAGGAGGAGGUGCUUAAGCCAUAAUUCCAUAGUUAAAGAAAAAAAUAAAAAGGAGGAGGGAGGGGGGAGGAACUAUGAAGGAGGAGAAUUGAUACUUAUAUAGUUGGACAAGAUGAGGAAGAGGUGCUUAAGCCAUAGUUCCAUAGUUAAAGGUAAAAGGAGGGAGGGAGAGGGGCUACAGAGGUGGAGAAGACGAGGAGGAAGGGGAGCGAUCAGCAAAGCUCAGUAUACGAGAAGCCGCUGAAGGGGGAAGAUUGCAGAAGAACAGGAAAGAGAAAGAGGAGGAUGGGGAGACUGCCGCGUACGUGAGUUUUCCUGGGACGAUUCUACUGACUUCUGCUGACUGUUGGUGGACUGGACCUGUGAACAUGCAAGGACAUUUGACUGCAGCUGCUGGCUUCACAAAACUACCUUGCUGAUGUCAUGCUGAACACUACUCUGGCAAGAGCCUUCUUUGUACCUGGAUAUAUGGUUGUAUUUCCUCCUGCCCAGGACUUGAACACAGGAGAGCAUGGCCUAAGGCUACAGAUUCCAUCCAGUCUUCUGGCCCCUCCAACUGCAUCUAUUUACAAGAGCUUUAGGUUAUACUAAAAAAAAAAAUUAAAU